GUCUCUAUUUUUUUCUGCCUGCUGUGUUUAACAACGGAGUCGGAGAGAUUGGCACAUAGCUUAGGGGGAGUGAAGAGUAACUUAAUGGGAUCCAGCCAUGCAACAUGAUUGAGCCAGGGGAUGAGGAUGAUCUGGCCCCAGAGAAGUUGUAUCUGCCACCAGAGAUAACAGCUUUCACAUGGAGAGUGGAGAAAAUGUUUCCUGGACGAUGGGAGUGACUGACAGAUAUUAGAUGGGAGGAAAUUGAAGGUGCUGCCAAGUUUCAUGAUAAAAUGCUAUUUCUCACGGUAA